CCCAUGUCUCGUCCGACCUUGACCUCCGGCAGCCUCAGUUUCCUCCUCUAUACCUGCUUGGCUCAAGCCCUCGCUUCCUUCAGAGCUUGGCUCGAAUUCACGCUGACACCCCUCCCCCCACCACCACCACCAUCCUGGGGCAUGAGCUCCAUCAAGCAGGGACUCUGUCUAUUUCUUUUGAAUUGCUUUAUCUCCAGCCCCAGAAUGGCACCUGGCACGUGGAAGGAGCUCAGGGAACAUUUGUUCGCUGAAUGACUAGCAGUGAGAACGGGGCACGGGGACCGCGGUUCCUGGCAGAGAAGAGCUCCCAGUGAGCCUAAUUACAUUAUUCUGUCUUCCUUGCAUUUAUUUUUCUGGUUACUUUUUAUUUCUUAUGGCAGAUGAUACUGCAUUUUUUCAUUUGUAGAAGUGAUUUAAAAUUUCCUUUGAAAACAAGUUGAUUUAACUGGGGAAAGCACGUUUAUUUCAAGAACAAUAUUCAGUUAAUGGAGGCACGGGGGACAUGGCAAGAGUCAGGAAGGCGGGACAGGCAGGCCGGAAGCCGCUCGAUGGCCGGAGAUCAGGUCUCCCGUUUGACAGAUGGGCAGGCUGCGGCUCAGAGGCCGAGUGGCUUGUUCGAGGUCACACGGCGAGUUAACGGCGGGUCGAGCACGUGCACCCUAGCCUUCUGGUUCCAGCCACAGCCCUGCUCUUUCCCUUCAAAGUCUCUGUUCCAUCCAUCAGGGGAUGCUUCGGGGGGACCCGGGGCAGCCUGCGCUGAGAACAAUAGGACUGAGGACACUUUUAAGCGAGGGGCUUUGUCCCCGUCACCAGAACAGUGCCUGGCGGGAGGCACUUGUUAGAUUUAUGAAUAGAAG
rnacentral:lncRNA from 1 species